CUCCAGUACCUACUGAACUGAAACACAGUUUUUUUCAUGCAACUGGCUCAGUUCAGCAGGAACCGGAG
rnacentral:pre_miRNA from 12 species